rnacentral:rRNA from 1 species
CCUACGGGAGGCAGCAGUGAGGAAUAUUGGUCAAUGGGCUUACGCCUGAACCAGCCAAGUCGCGUGAGGGAAUACUGCCCUAUGGGUUGUAAACCUCUUUUGUCAGGGAGCAACGCCGGCUACGUGUAGCCGGACUGAGAGUACCUGAAGAAAAAGCAUCGGCUAACUCCGUGCCAGCAGCCGCGGUAAUACGGAGGAUGCGAGCGUUAUCCGGAUUUAUUGGGUUUAAAGGGUGCGUAGGCGGAAUGCCAAGUCAGCGGUAAAAUCGCGGGGCUCAACCUCGCUCCGCCGUUGAAACUGGCGUGCUUGAGUGGGCGAGAAGAAUGCGGAAUGCGUGGUGUAGCGGUGAAAUGCAGAGAUAUCACGCAGAACGCCGAUUGCGAAGGCAGCAUACCGGCGCCCAACUGACGCUGAAGCACGAAAGCGUGGGUAUCGAACAGGAUUAGAUACCCUAGUAGUC